rnacentral:rRNA from 1 species
AUACGGAAGGUCCGGGCGUUAUCCGGAUUUAUUGGGUUUAAAGGGAGCGCAGGCGGAGAUGCAAGCGUGACGUCAAAUUUCGGGGCUCAACCCCGUCUCGCGUCGCGAACUGCGUCCCUUGGUUGCGGGAAGGGGAGGCGGAACUCGUGGGGUAGCGGUGAAAUGCAUAGAUAUCACGAAGAACUCCGAUCGCGAAGGCAGCCUUCCGGCCCGUCAACGACGCUCAUGCUCGAAGGUGCGGGUAUCAAACAGGAUUAGAUACCCUGGUAGUCCGCACAGUAAACGAUGGACACCCGCGGUUUGGCCUAUAUGGCUGAGCCGCCAAGCGAAAGCGUUAAGUGUCCCACCUGGGGAGUACGCCGGCAACGGUGAAACUCAAAUGAAUCGACGGGG